UACGUAGGGAGCAAGCGUUGUCCGGAAUCAUUGGGCGUAAAGCGCGUGUAGGCGGCUUGGUAAGUCUGCUCUGAAAGCCCGGGGCUCAACCCCGGGAGGCGGGUGGAUACUGCUGAGCUCGAGUCCGGAAGAGGCGAGUGGAAUUCCUGGUGUAGCGGUGAAAUGCGCAGAUAUCAGGAGGAACACCGGUGGUGUAGACGGCUUUCUGGACCGUAACUGACGCUGAGACACGAAAGCGUGGGUAGCAAACAGG
rnacentral:rRNA from 1 species